GAAUUCGGAAAUGCAGUCCAAGCAACGUUGGGCCUGGUUAGUACUUGGAUCGGAGACGGCUUGGGAAUCCCAGGUUUCGUAAUCU
rfam:Angiostrongylus costaricensis strain Costa Rica genome assembly, scaffold: ACOC_scaffold0001028